rnacentral:rRNA from 1 species
CACAGAGACUGCAAGCGUUAUUCGGAUUCACUGGGCGUAAAGGGUGCGCAGGCGGUUGUGUGUGUCAGGUGUGAAAGCCCGGGGCUUAACCCCGGAAUUGCGCCUGAAACUACAUGACUAGAGCAUUGGAGAGGGUAGCGGAAUUCACGGUGUAGCAGUGAAAUGCGUAGAUAUCGUGAGGAACACCAGAGGCGAAGGCGGCUACCUGGACAAUUGCUGACGCUCAGGCACGAAAGCGUGGGGAGCAAACAGG